UACAUAUUCUUUGAGAUGUGUGCCCUUGGGCUAGGCAAGAACGAAAUUCAGGUAUCUUGUCCAAAGUACUCUAAAGGAGAACUUGAUGGGUAGGCCGGGUGGGCCUUGGCUUACCCAGAAUGUUAAAAAGGAAAUUCAGGUACCAGGCCUUCAUUUACGGCCCAAAUUUUAGCCAAGAAAUCCCAAAUCCUAAAAAUCCGCAACAGUGAAUCGCAAUCUAAUGUUCUAGCAUGUACCAGAGAACAUUUUGUUCUCAAACACGCCGAGCGGUGUCUCAUUUUCAUUAAGAAAAAGGCGCAAGAAGCCCAAAUACAAACCGGCAGCCCAAAGAGCAAGUGCUCAAAAAAGGAAGAAAGCAAAACAGAAAAGAAAACACAGAGAAAGAAAAACAAGGCCUUUACCAGAGAAUAUUCAAUGUGGACGUGGGCUUGGCCUAACCUCCACCACCGAGCACGCCAACCUC
rnacentral:lncRNA from 1 species